GACGAACGCUGGCGGCGUGCUUAACACAUGCAAGUCGAACGGAAAGGCCCUGCUUUUGUGGGGUGCUCGAGUGGCGAACGGGUGAGUAACACGUGAGUAACCUGCCCUUGACUUUGGGAUAACUUCAGGAAACUGGGGCUAAUACCGGAUAGGAGCUCCUGCUGCAUGGUGGGGGUUGGAAAGUUUCGGCGGUGUGGGAUGGACUCGCGGCUUAUCAGCUUGUUGGUGGGGUAGUGGCUUACCAAGGCUUUGACGGGUAGCCGGCCUGAGAGGGUGGACGGGCACCUUGGGACUGAGGUACGGCCCAGACUCCUACGGGAGGCAGCGGUGGGGAAUAUUGCACAAUGGGCGGAAGCCUGAUGCAGCAACGCCGCGUGCGGGAUGACGGCCUUCGGGUUAUAAACCGCUUUCGCCUGUGACGAAGCGUGAGUGACGGUAAUGGGUAAAGAAGCACCGGCUAACUACGUG
rnacentral:rRNA from 1 species